AUUUUUUAUUUGUUGGUGCAUUUUAUAUACGAUUCGACGUACAAAAAUGAACGAAAAUUAAUUAUGGAGGAGACAAAUAUCAUGGCUAUACCAGGAAUAUUGUCAGCGGUAGUUUUUGAUAAGGAGGGCAAAGUGUUAUUAAAUUUCGGAAAUAAUAAAAGCGACUUACAAAUACACGGUUUAUUUAGAACUUUUGGAAUCAUACAUCGACAACGUUGCAAGACUAGAGGUCCUUUGAGAGUUGGACUUUCUGAGGAUGUAUUUUUGUGUUCAGUGUCCGCUUCUGGUGACAUCGUUGGGAAAAGUGAAUCUUCCCUGAAAUCAAUGUUGGUUCUGUUUCGUAAAGACCGAGUGAUUUUCUUUGUUGGUGAAUACAAUUCACGGAUAUCGUACAUGAGACUUAUUGACGAGGUAUUGGGAAUCCGUAAAAAUAUUGAUGUCCUCUUUUACAGCGUGACAGCAUUUGGUGGCCGAUACACUGGAUGACAUGUUUCUGUGAAAAUAAUAGAAAUGAUAGCAGAUUGUUUUUCAAAUAGAAUGAAAUUGUAAAUGUAAAUGAUCUGAAAUGAUAGCCGUACUUCAAAGGGAUUUAAUCUUCAUCAGAUCAACACAUCAGCGCGGAAUGUUAUUUGUACAUGCAAGUUAUAAUUAUAUAUUUUCUAUAUUUAUCAAUGCAAUUUUGCAAUUUAUAAUUAUAACCGUUACUUAAUAAACAGUUGACUUACAUAUAACUAUUUGAUAUUUCCAGUUAAGGAAAAUGAAAGUUCUUAUUAAUAAACUGUUGAAUAUGAAUUGAUUUAUCAUUCCAUCAUGUAUCAAUGAAAUGGUCAUCUUUAGAUAUGCAGUACUUUUACCAAAAGCAACAUGGCUUGCAUUACUGAUUGUAAUUUUACAAGAAUUCUUAAUCGUCUACCAGGGCCUAUUCUAUUGAAGGUGUUUUAUGAUAUUAUGAUUUCUGUUUUAUACAUUGUACAUGAUUAGAUGUGUGUUAGAAGCAGAAAAAUUAAGAAAUUAUGGUACAAAAUACUGUGGAAUAGUUUUUGUUUGUAAGGUAUAUAAGUUCGUGGGGAUGUAAAUUCGUGGGCAAGGGUUACCCACGAAAGCCAUGGACAUUGGUCCCCCAAGAACAAUGAUGAUUCCAUAGUACUUGAAUUACGAAAGAAGUAGAUGGGAAGAAAGCAAAUAAGGCUAAAUGACAAGAGGUAGAUGUUCUGUUUUAAGAAACUGCUGCAGUGGUCAGGGGACAUAUCAAAUUCUCAAUGUGUCUCUAUCAUUCUCUUUUCAAUCUAUGGAGGAAAUCGACUUCUUGAGACAGAAGCUAACACACAGUUUAGAAAAUGAAAUUUACUUUGUAUUUCCUUGAAAGGAAAAAAGAUUGCAUGCUGGUUUUACAACAGAGCAACUCAUAAUAUAUUCACGCCGUAAGCAACUUCACAUAUUCCCUCCCAACAUUUAUAUGCCAUUUAUGUCCAAUGUUUUCAUCAUUGCUUAAUAAAUUUGAUUUG
rnacentral:sRNA from 1 species